UAUCGGUUCACACUCCUAGUGGCGGUAGUGGGCGACUUCUUUGCAAUCCGUCAAAAAAAAAAAAACGAAGACGACUUUCAGCGGUAGAUGAGUGGAAGAGGUUAUGGAUACAGAAGUCCAUAAGCAGGUUAUGUUAGGAAGGGCAAGCAAGGCGAGCUCCGUAGAAUUUAUUCUGAAGCAAUGCAUCUGGGAUUUUGCAGUGUCCACUGCAUGCAAGUCUAUUGUGCUGAAUGAAUGAUUGUACAUAAUUUGAUUCAUCAGAAAUAAAAUAAUUUACCCACCCUGAGAUUUCAAAUUAAUACAUUGAUUUGUGUAACAUGUUCUGAAGAACAUUAGUCUGUCAUUUGCUGUAAUUUGAUUUAAAAAAAAAAAAAUGCAGUACAGACAAAUGGUAACUGCAUUUUCUUAACAGUACUCAACAUUUUCUUUAUGAAUCACACAUUUACCUCCUAAGUGCAAUUGCAUCUCACUUUAAUGUUCCUUGGUAGGCUACUGUAGAAUUGUAGAAGUGAAAUGUUAUAUCCAGAAAUAUGCUUAAAUUACUACAGUUAAAGGAUUUAAAAUGACACCAUCACGAAGCAUGGCAAAAGGUGUAAAGACAUGAUUUCAAUGUUGAGAG